rnacentral:rRNA from 1 species
CCCUGUUUAUCAAAAACAUGUCUUCUUGCUAUUGAUUUGAAGUCGUGCCUGCCCAGUGAGGAGUUUAACGGCCGCGGUAUUUUGACCGUGCAAAGGUAGCAUAAUCAUUAGUCUUUUAAUUGGGGGCUGGAAUGAAUGGUUUGACGAAACAAUAACUGUCUCAAUAUUAUUGAUUGAAUUUUAUUUUUAAGUUAAAAAGCUUAAAUGGGAAUGGGGGACGAGAAGACCCUAUAGAUCUUUAUAAUAUAAUUAUAAUUAAAUUGUUGGUUGUUAUUUAUUUAAUUUUGAGUAUAUUAUUUCGUUGGGGUGAUGAGAGAAUAAAUAAGCUUCUAUUUUUUUAAACUAUGAUGAUUGGUUUAUAUGAUCCUAUGUUAUGGAAUUGAGAGUAAGAUACCUUAGGGAUAACAGCGUAAUUUUAUUGGAGAGUUCAUAUCGAUAAUAAAGAUUGCGACCUCGAUGUUGGAUUAAGAUUAUAAUUAGGUGCAGUAGCUUAAUUAAUUGGUCUGUUCGACCAUUAAAUUCUUACAUGAUCUGAGUUCAGACCGG